UCUUAUAGUUCCCUUGUUGUCAAACAAGAUUACCAUUUUGCAUCGCCUAAGCUCAGAUGGCCCUCUCCUUUCUCCACCUACUUGGCCUUUACCUGAUCGUCCAACAGUUUUCUGUAGCUGCAGCUCAAACUGCAAAUAUUAGCUUGGGAUGGUCCCUUAUUGCAUCAGACGAGUCUGUGUCGCGGCAAUCGCCCUCCGGGGAGUUUGCGUUUGGAUUUCGCCGCCUUGGUGAUCAGGACCUCUUCUUGCUUGCCAUUUGGUAUAACAAGAUUCCAGAAAAGACCAUUGUUUGGUAUGCAAAUGGAGACAAUCCAGCACCAAAAGGAUCCAUAGUGGAGCUCACAAAGGAUGGUGAGUUCAAGCUCACCGGCCCUAAGAAAGAAGAAAUCUGGCCCCCGUCGGUUAUCAGUGGAGUCGCUUAUGCUGCCAUGCUCGACUCAGGUAACUUUGUUCUUGCUGAUCAGAAGUCGGCUCCUUUGUGGCAGAGCUUCAAAGACCUCAGAGACACCAUUUUACCAACACAAGUGUUGGAAAUAGGUGACAAGCUCACCUCUAGGCAGAGUCCAAGUAGAUACGCAAGGGGCAAGUUUCAACUCCAGUUUAGACCAGCCGGUACGCUUGAGCUGUAUACCAUAGCCUUGCCUACGGACUACGCAUAUCCACAAUACUUCAUCAGCGAAACAUCUGAAGUACAUCAUGGAAACAACACUGGUCAUCAUCUAGCCUUCAAUGAGUCGGGUCGAAUCGGUGUUGUUUUGAAGAAUGGAAAUGUAGUAACCUUCUCAGACAAUCUGACAUCCCCAUCAAGAGAUUACUACUUCAGAGCAACACUAGACUGGGAUGGCCUUUUUACUCAAUAUGCUCAUCCAAAAAAUGGGAGUUGGGGAUCCUGGUCAACUUUGUGGUCUAUCCCAAGCAACAUUUGCUUCUCGUCGAUUGCUCGCGAUUUGGGCGGGGGGCCAUGCGGAUAUAACACUUACUGCAGACUUGACCUCAACACAAGGCCAAUUUGUGAAUGCAUUCCCGGCUUUUCUGCUAUAGAUCCCAAUAAUAAGAUGUGGGGCUGCAGACAAGAUAGAGCGCAGAGUUGUGAACUAGAUGACUCAAAGCUACAAGAUGUGUAUGUGAUCCGUGAGGUUGCAAAUACGUUCUGGCCUGAUUCUGCAAACUAUGACGUAUUGCAGCCAUUUGGUGAAGAUGAGUGUCGCAGGUCAUGCCUCGAGGACUGUAACUGUGUUGUGGCUGUUAUAUUCGACGGCAACUGCAUUAAAAAGAAGCUGCCACUCUCGAAUGGAAGGCAAGACUGGAGUAAGUACGGCAAGGCGCUCAUCAAGUUACCAAAAACUGAUGCUUUGUCUGAAAAUCCUGCAUCUCAAGGAUCAAAUACAGAUAAGAAAGAUCAGAAAACUCUUGUCUUAGUAGUAGCACUCCUUCUAGGUAGCUCUGUGUUUCUCAACUUUCUAUUUGUCGCAGCAAUUGCUUUGCUUCUUUUCUAUGCAUACCGCAAGGCACAUAGGGUUACUCCUGGAACAUCCAGUAUUAUGGAAGCAAAUCUACGAGCUUUCACUUACAAAGAGCUCGAGGAUGCCACUGAUGGUUUCAGAGAAGAACUUGGAAGAGGGGCUUUUGGUACUGUGUAUAAGGGAGUCAUAUCCUAUCUGAACUCAACAAACUAUGUGGCAAUCAAGAAGUUGGACAAGAUGGCACAAGAAGGUGACAAGGAAAAGGAAUUCAAAACAGAAGCGGGGGCAAUAGCCAGGACGCAUCACAAAAACCUCGUCAGAUUGCUUGGCUUCUGUGAUGAAGGGGCAAAUAAACUCUUGGUCUAUGAGUUUAUGAGCAAUGGAACACUGGCUAGCUUUCUGUUUGGGAUAUCAAGGCCUGAUUGGAACAAGAGAAUCCAAAUUGCGUUUGGUAUUGCUAGAGGACUAAUGUACUUACACGACGAGUGUAGCACUCAGAUCAUCCACUGUGAUAUCAAACCCCCCAACAUACUUCUCGACGAUUCAUUUACAGCAAGGAUUUCGGACUUCGGCUUGGCCAAGCUUCUGCUGAGUGAUCAAACACUGACUCAUACAGUCAUCAGAGGGACCAAAGGGUAUGUUGCACCAGAAUGGUUCAGAAAUACUCCAGUUACUGCAAAGGUCGAUGUUUACAGUUAUGGGGUGAUGCUGUUGGAGAUUAUCUGUUGCAGGAGGGGCUUUGAAAUGGAAAGGGAAAAUGAAGAAGAAGUGAUACUUACGGACUGGGUUUACGAUUGCUACAAGCAAAGGAGAUUAAACGAGUUGAUGGAGGACGAUGAGGAGGCCAGAAAUGACAUGAAAAGGCUGGAGAGGCUGGUAAUGGUGGCAAUUUGGUGCAUACAAGAGGAUCCAUCUUUGAGACCCACCAUGAAGAAGGUUACACAAAUGCUUGAAGGAGUGGUUGAUGUGUCCGUACCUCCAAGUCCCUCUCCUUUUAGUUCAAGAUGCUGAAAUUUACCGUAUUUCGUAGUUGUUUCUUCACCGCAAUGUAUUAAGUUUACCGACGGGAAAAAUUUAGGUCCAAACUAUUUGUUUUACGCGCGCAUCCAGGAACUGAUGACGAUCUUCCUCCAUCACAUCAAAAUAGAAUUCCUAGAGGGGGUCGUGUUGCAGGGAAUGGAAGAUCUGCUGUCGGUUCAGUUCCGUAUUCUAGGAUGUAUGGUGAAACUAGCAUGGAAGCAC